AGAGUUUGAUCCUGGCUCAGGACGAACGCUGGCGGCGUGCCUAACACAUGCAAGUCGAGCGGGGUUUUCUUUAGCACUGAGUACUCUUAAAAGCUGGUUGGCGCCAGCGUUUAUGCAGAAACAACCUUAAAAAUUUAAUUGAGGUUUCUGCAUUACGCGUUAAAUAGUGCCAACACUUAAGCGGACGGGAGUAUUGAGUGCUGAAGAAAACCUAACGGCGGACGGGUGAGUAACGCGUGAGCAACCUGCCUUGCACAGGGGGAUAACACUCGGAAACGGGUGCUAAUACCGCAUAAGACCCCACUAUCGCAUGAUAGAGAGGUCAAAGGGCAUAACCGGUGCAAGAUGGGCUCGCGUCCCAUUAGCUAGUUGGUGAGGUAACGGCUCACCAAGGCGACGAUGGGUAGCCGACCUGAGAGGGUGAUCGGCCACACUGGGACUGAGACACGGCCCAGACUCCUACGGGAGGCAGCAGUGGGGAAUAUUGCGCAAUGGGGGGAACCCUGACGCAGCGACGCCGCGUGAGUGAAGAAGGUCUUCGGAUCGUAAAGCUCUGUCAUCGGGGACGAAGGUAUGACGGUACCCGAAGAGGAAGCCCCGGCUAACUACGUGCCAGCAGCCGCGGUAAUACGUAGGGGGCGAGCGUUGUCCGGAAUUACUGGGCGUAAAGGGUGCGUAGGCGGCCUGAUAAGUCAGGUGUGAAAUACCAGGGCUCAACCCUGGGGGUGCACUUGAAACUGUCGGGCUUGAGUGCAGGAGAGGAAAGCGGAAUUCCUAGUGUAGCGGUGAAAUGCGUAGAUAUUAGGAGGAACACCAGUGGCGAAGGCGGCUUUCUGGACUGUAACUGACGCUGAGGCACGAAAGCGUGGGUAGCGAACAGGAUUAGAUA
rnacentral:rRNA from 1 species